GACUUAACAAUGCAAGGACAGUGUCGUGGCUUUUGAAAAAUCCCAUGCCGCUUGACUCUCAACUGCUGAGAAUAUCUGAGCAGGACUCAUAGUAUCCUGACGUCACUCUCGAAUAAAAAGAAGCCUCUUCAUCACAUUUUUAUGUAUUAUUAUUCAUAACCACUUGUACCAAAAAAUUAUGCAGAACAGAAACAAGAAAUAUAAAUUUUAUUAAUCUAUGUAUCUGGGCUACAUUGUACGCUUUAUAAAAUUAAACAUGAGAGGCAAAAGUGACAACAAUAUUUAAAAAACCCACAAAAAAAAUUGCGCAUCAUUUUAUGCAUAUCGUUCUUAUGUCUGAAAUAGCAGCCAGUUAGUGUAAAUAAAUCAUGUUAUUUCUAUUAACUUUUCUACACCUAAUGGCCUCAAGAGACUAUAUUAAGCCUAUAUUAAAAGCAUAAGAUUGUAUCCACCAUGUCUAAAGUAACAAAUACACUUUUAGACAGACUGUACCAGCACUUAGACAGACUGUACCAGCACUUAGACGUUCGCCUGAAGUACAAAAGAUUCCAAAUGAAAAAUAUUUUUUACCUUCGUAAUAAAUAUCGGUUGUACAUUUUUCAAAGAUUAUUAAUUUUUUUUUGUUGCUUUCUUGUCAUGGAGUCUUGUGUUCAAGGAAAAUAUAACAUUGAAUAUAAAUAGAAGGAAAAUAUUUUUAAAAAUCUAAAUUGUAACACAGUAAACAUUCAUUGAGAUGGCCAUUCAAAGGCAGGAGAUGCUAUUUACUAACAAAUAUAUCAAGUACGUAACUGACCAAUCAAAUAUGGAAUGUGUGAAAACUUGAUCAAAUGAAAUAAUAAAAUACAGCAGCUUCAAUUUUUAAAUAUAAAAAAAUUGUAAUACAAAAAAUAAGACGAAACAAUACAUAAAUUUAAACAUCAUGUAACGACCCACUAACCUAUAUAGAUUAAUUUCCUUUCAUACCUUUUAUAUAAAAAAAACAUUUUAUGAUUAUAGAAUUAAAGUAUAAACCAGGAAUGUGCAGAUAUUAUAGCGCAGUCUAACUUAUUUUAGUUUUGAAAGAAACCUUAGAAAUCAAAAUUAUAUCCUUUCAAUGCCAGCCAGGGCAUUAUGACAUACGAGUUGAUCUUUAUAAGGGGAGAUACCAUCUUCCUCCAAGCUUGCCAAAUAAAAGAUUGCCUUUGGCAUGAGGCAUCCAAAUACCAGAUUAGUAGCUGGCAUCUAUUUGCGUCUGAAAGUGACAGAUGCAGUGAUAUUACAUAGGACGCAGGACACACAUUUGAGGCCAAAAGAAAAACCCUUGUUGAAGACAGGCAGAAAAUUUUUCAUUACCGGAGACAAUGGCUCAUGCUUAAGGAAAGAAGAAAAAAGACUAAUUAAAAGUCCCUAUUUAUUGCUGGCCUUUAACACGGGGAAAAAAAAAAAAAGAAGUUAAAAAAUACAUAAGCACAUGAAAAAACU